rnacentral:rRNA from 1 species
AGAGUUUGAUCCUGGCUCAGGACGAACGCUGGCGGCGUGCCUAACACAUGCAAGUCGAACGGAACUGUUUUGAAAGAUUUCUUCGGAAUGAAUUUGAUUUAGUUUAGUGGCGGACGGGUGAGUAACGCGUGAGUAACCUGCCUUCAAGAGGGGGAUAACAUUCUGAAAAGAAUGCUAAUACCGCAUGACAUAUCGGAACCACAUGGUUUUGAUAUCAAAGAUUUUAUCGCUUGAAGAUGGACUCGCGUCCGAUUAGUUAGUUGGUGAGGUAACGGCUCACCAAGACCGCGAUCGGUAGCCGGACUGAGAGGUUGAACGGCCACAUUGGGACUGAGACACGGCCCAGACUCCUACGGGAGGCAGCAGUGGGGGAUAUUGCGCAAUGGGGGCAACCCUGACGCAGCAACGCCGCGUGAAGGAUGAAGGUUUUCGGAUUGUAAACUUCUUUUAUUAAGGACGAAAAAUGACGGUACUUAAUGAAUAAGCUCCGGCUAACUACGUGCCAGCAGCCGCGGUAAUACGUAGGGAGCAAGCGUUGUCCGGAUUUACUGGGUGUAAAGGGUGCGUAGGCGGCUUUGCAAGUCAGAUGUGAAAUCUAUGGGCUCAACCCAUAAACUGCAUUUGAAACUGUAGAGCUUGAGUGAAGUAGAGGCAGGCGGAAUUCCCCGUGUAGCGGUGAAAUGCGUAGAGAUGGGGAGGAACACCAGUGGCGAAGGCGGCCUGCUGGGCUUUAACUGACGCUGAGGCACGAAAGCGUGGGUAGCAAACAGGAUUAGAUACCCUGGUAGUCCACGCUGUAAACGAUGAUUACUAGGUGUGGGGGGUCUGACCCCUUCCGUGCCGGAGUUAACACAAUAAGUAAUC